ACUACAUCACGUUGAAACACUAAUUCUCGUACGAUCACCGAAGUUAAGCAACGUCGAGCCUGGUCGGUAUCUAGAUGGGUGAACGCUUUGGAAUACCAGAUGCU
rnacentral:rRNA from 1 species